GGGUGGUAAUGCCGGAUGCUCCAUCACACCGCAUGGUGUGUUGGGAAAGCCUUUGCGGCAUGGGAUGGGGUCGCGUCCUAUCAGCUUGAUGGCGGGGUAACGGCCCACCAUGGCUUCGACGGGUAGCCGGCCUGAGAGGGCGACCGGCCACAUUGGGACUGAGAUACGGCCCAGACUCCUACGGGAGGCAGCAGUGGGGAAUAUUGCACAAUGGGCGCAAGCCUGAUGCAGCGACGCCGCGUGAGGGAUGGAGGCCUUCGGGUUGUAAACCUCUUUUGUUAGGGAGCAAGGCAUUUUGUGUUGAGUGUACCUUUCGAAUAAGCACCGGCUAACUACGUGCCAGCAGCCGCGGUAAUACGUAGGGUGCAAGCGUUAUCCGGAAUUAUUGGGCGUAAAGGGCUCGUAGGCGGUUCGUCGCGUCCGGUGUGAAAGUCCAUCGCUUAACGGUGGAUCCGCGCCGGGUACGGGCGGGCUUGAGUGCGGUAGGGGAGACUGGAAUUCCCGGUGUAACGGUGGAAUGUGUAGAUAUCGGGAAGAACACCA
rnacentral:rRNA from 1 species